GAGUGCUAACCACACAAACACGAAGCGCUAGCCACACAAAAAAACUGAGCACUGGUCACGCAAACAUGGAGAGGUAGCCACUGACACACAAAAAAACUGAGUGCUAUCCACAUAAAAAAGGGAGUGCUAGCCAUGCAAGAAAAUGGAGCGAUAGCCACACAAAAAAUGGAGCGAUAGCCACACAAAAAAUGAAUGCUACCAAAAAUAAAAAACAAACAAAUUAAAAAAAAUACGGGGAGCUAGCCACACAAUAUGUAGCGCUGGCCACACACAAAAAACAGAGCGCCAGCCAUAUUAAAAAACGGAGCGCUAGCCACACAUAAAAAUGAAUGUUAGCCACACAAAAAAUGAAGCGCCAACCACAUGUAAAACUGACACUAUUCACACAAGAAAUGAAUGGUAGCCUCACAAAAAAAAAUAGUGCUUGUGUAGCCCACAUGAAAAGUUAACAAAGUCAUUAUUCGUUAUUUAAUUUAAAUUAAUUAUAUCAGUAAAGUUUUAAAUGUCCUACGACACUUGAGUGCAUCAUCCAAUUCACCAAACCGCCCACACGGGGGCAUCUGCCUUAUCAGCCAAUCAGUGGCCAUGACUGUCAUGCUGGACUAGCAGCUCUGAGAUCAGUUCUGGAGCACGUUCUCUCAGCAAGACGGUCUUUUCACUUCAGCCACUGAGACCGAAAGGUAUCGCUGCCCAAGUUAAGGAACAAGACGAUUAGAAGCACGUUUUGAAACAAGUUGUCGGCUAAUGUUCCUCUUCAAGUAAAAAAAAACAGGAAAGUUGUUGCUGCCAUAGCCGUGUGGGUGUGUGGGCUGCGGCGGACGAGCAAGGUGUCGCUACUCGGGGCAUUAGCUUUAGCAGCUAACUCCUCACCGGCCAUUUUGUGAGGUGUGGCGCGAACUGAAACCAACGUGCUGAGCUCUGAACCCAGAAAGGCGGUCAGAUUUUUUGGUGGACCAGAAAUACCAGGAGAAAGACGAGAUCCAGAUGGCGAGCCGAAGAACCCAGAAGAAAAGAUAACAACACUUACGCUGAUGCACACACUGCGAUUGUCACACAAACUGUGGAGAUCAGGUGCACCUACAACUAUUUUGUUUAUUUCCAUUUUUUUUUUUUUUAAGGGCCCAUUCAUUGGACAAUAUUUUUCCAGUCCGCACUCUUUACAUUUUUUGUUGUUAACGUGUUGUGUCUGUUUACAAACUUGUUUAUUGUUUCUGUAGCGGAAAGAUAUAUGAGUUGAUACUCAACCGCUGACACUGUGCCUCUGAUUGUUGGUCAACUCCUUGGCUCCAAACAAAUUUAGAUCCUUCUGAUACUAGCACAUAGCUUUGUUUUGACACAUAUAAAUAACAUACUGUAAUCGAUCUCUUAACUGUGAAGUUAGUUACACUAGCCACACAAAAAAUUGAGUGCUAGCCACACAAACAAGGAGCGCUAGCUAGCCUUACAAACACAGAGCCCUUACCACACAAACACGGCGCGCUAGCCACACACAAAAAAACUGAGCGCUGGCCACACAAAGAAAUGAAUGCUAGUCACACAAAAAAAGCAAAGUGUUAGCCACACAAAAUAUGGAUGCUAGCCACACGAAAAAGCGAAGUGUUAGCCACACAAAAAAUGAAUGCUAGUCACACAAAAGCAAAGUGUUAGCCACACAAAAAACGAAUGCUAGCCACACGAAAAAGCGAAGUGUUAGCCACACAAAAAAUGAAUGCUAGUCACACGAAAAAGCAAAGUGUUAGCCACACAAAAAACGAAUGCUAGCCACACGAAAAAGCGAAGU